CCCUUAGAUGUUCUGGGCUGCACGCGCGCUACACUGAAGCGUUCAACGAGUAUUCACCUUGCCCGGGAGGGUUGGGUAAUCUUUUGAAAACGCUUCGUGAUGGGGAUAGAUUAUUGCAAUUAUUAAUCUUCAACGAGGAAUUCCUAGUAAGCGCAAGUCAUCAGCUUGCGUUGAUUACGUCCCUGCCCUUUGUACACACCGCCCGUCGCUUGUACCGAUUGGAUGGUCCGGUGAAAUCUUCGGAUAGCUGGUAGUUGGCUUGCCAUCUACUGCUAAAAGUUGCUUAAACCUUAUCAUCUAGAGGAACAAGAAGUCGUAACA
rnacentral:rRNA from 1 species